ACGUACGCUGGCGGCACGCCUAACACAUGCAAGUCGAACGAAGUAGCAAUACUUAGUGGCAGACGGGUGAGUAACAUGUAGGUAUCUGCCCUUUGGCCUGGAAUAACACGAGGAAACUUGUGCUAAUACCGGAUAAGUCUUUACGGAGAAAGCUUUAUGCACCAUUGGAUGAGCCUGCACUUGAUUAGUUUGUUGGUGGGGUAAUGGCCUACCAAGACUGUGAUCAAUAGCUGAUUUGAGAGGAUGAUCAGCCACAUUGGGACUGAGACACGGCCCAAACUCCUACGGGAGGCAGCAGUGGGGAAUCUUGCACAAUGGAGGAAACUCUGAUGCAGCGAUGCCGCGUGAGUGAAGAAGGCCCUUGGGUUGUAAAGCUCUUUCGUCGGGGAAGAAAAUGACUGUACCCGAAUAAGAAGGUCCGGCUAACUUCGUGCCAGCAGCCGCGGUAAUACGAAGGGACCUAGCGUAGUUCGGAAUUACUGGGCUUAAAGAGUUCGUAGGUGGUUGAAAUAGUUGGUGGUGAAAUCCCAGAGCUUAACUCUGGAACUGCCAUCAAAACUUUUCAGCUAGAGUAUGAUAGAGGAAAGCAGAAUUUCUAGUGUAGAGGUGAAAUUCGUAGAUAUUAGAAAGAAUACCAAUUGCGAAGGCAGCUUUCUGGAUCAUUACUGACACUGAGGAACGAAAGCAUGGGUAGCGAAGAGGAUUAGAUACCCUCGUAGUCCAUGCCGUAAACGAUGUGUGUUAGACGUUGGAAAUUUAUUUUCAGUGUCGCAGGGAAACCGAUAAACACACCGCCUGGGGAGUACGACCGCAAGGUUAAAACUCAAAUGAAUUGACGGGGACCCGCACAAGUAGUGGAGCAUGUGGUUUAAUUCGAAGAUACGCGCAGAACCUUACCAACACUUGACAUGUUCGUCGCGACUCUAAGAGAUUAGAGUUUUCGGUUCGGCCGGACGAAACACAGGUGCUGCAUGGCUGUCGUCAGCUCGUGUCGUGAGAUGUUGGGUUAAGUCCCGCAACGAGCGCAACCCUCACUUUUAGUUGCCAUCAUUAAGUUGGGCACUCUGAAAGAACUGCCAGUGAUAAGCUGGAGGAAGGUGGGGAUGACGUCAAGUCCUCAUGGCCCUUACGUGUUGGGCUACACACGUGCUACAAUGGUAUCUACAACAGGAAGCAAGACUGCGAAGUUAAGCAAAUCCCUAAAAGAUACCUCAGUUCGGAUUGCACUCUGCAACUCGAGUGCAUGAAGCUGGAAUUACUAGUAAUCGUGGAUCAGCGUGCCACGGUGAAUGCGUUCCCGGGUCUUGCACACACCGCCCCGUCAAGGGCGAA
rnacentral:rRNA from 1 species